CUUUCAAACAUUUUUUAAGUAAUUUUUUUCUUUUAUAUUUUCGCCUUACUCUUUAGCACCAAUAUGCGUGUCCAAAUAGUAGUUGUAAUCUACUAGACCAAACCACAGAUGAUGAAGAUUUAACUCCAACUUUUGGAUUUUCACAUAUAUUAUAUUUUAAAUAAUACUUUUUAAUUUGUUUAAAACACUAGCAUUACAAAAGUUUAAUAUAGUUUUUAGUUUUAGUUUUUAAUUUUUUAUAAAACUUUUAAGAUUUUAUUUACAGUUUUUGUUUUAUUAAAGUUAUUUAGUUGUAUCAUUGCUUAUGAUAGUUUAAACAUGUAUAAAUAUUUUUGCUGUUUUUGUUUCUUAGUAUGCUUGUUAGGCAGGGCAACCAUAUUGUUGGGUGAACAUUUUUUUUAAUGUUUUGCUAAAGUUAAUUAGUUAAUAUUAUAGUAGAUUAUAGUAAAAAAAAGUAAUUAUAUUAGGUGAUAUUUCUCUUUUACUGACUUAAAUUUAAAAUAUACAAAGUAAAGGCAUAAAGAUCAAAGAGUAAACAUUUAGUUAAUAAAUUGUUCAAAUUAAAAAGUAAUUUAUGCAAAAGCACGUUUCAAAAAGAUGUUUUUAGAUUUAGUGCUGUAUUAGUUAAGGAUUUCAUUAGCAUUGCAAUAUGGCGCUUAAAGUUUUGAUUUCUUUGUAUAAUCUGUUUACCAUAGAUAUAGGUUAUAAAAUUUAUAGCUUUUAUAGGUUAUGAAAUUAAUAAUAGAUGUAGGUUAUAAUAAAUUAUAAUGAAAUUUAAAGGUUAAGCUUAAAUUGUCAAAGUUUUAUUUAAACAUUAAUUCAAUCAAGUGAUUUAUUCAAAAUUGAUUUUCUAUAAAUCUGUUUAAGUUGAAUUUUAUAGUUCAAUUUUAGUAUUAGACAGUUUUUUAAUAUUUAAAGUAAUGGAAACAUCUGCUAACGAUGGUAAGUGUUGAUUAAAUAAAGUAUUGUAGUUUAUAACUUUUUAGUUUAUGUUUAGUAGAAAUUUAUAUGCAUAUCUUUAUCAUUUGAUAGUUUAUUUUAAGUUAAAACUUUACUUUUUUUAGCAUCAGACCAGAGAUUUGCACUAAUAUUGUCAGAAUUAGCCGCUUUAAGAGCAGAAUUAAACAAAGAUGCAUCAAGCUUACCAACUGAUCAGGGUUCUUCAGUCAUAUCAUCACCUCCGGCUCAGGAAGUAGUCAACAACCUUUCUAGUUCAACAAUUUCUGAAAGGACUCUGGCUUUUUGUGUUAUUGAUGUCAAAAAUCUGACUUAGGAUUUCUUUGGGGUACUCCCAAUGAUGGCAUCAAGGAUUCAAAUGGAUUUUCAUUUAACCAGUUCUUGCUUUGGCGUAAUACGCAUCCUGGUCCGAAGACGCUCAAAGCAUUUAAUGUUUGGGCCCGACAAGGUGGCAAAGACCUCCCCAACUUUCGAUGGGGAGGUAGAACUGGGAGCCGCAAGGGUCGCGGACAAGGUGGCCGAGGAGGUGGCGGUAAAGGGUCUUUUGUACUAGGGCGUUGGUAUUUUCAGCUCUAGUUUUUAUUUUAUGUGUAGUUUUAUACUUAUUUAUGUUGAUGUUGUUGCUUUAUAAUUUUAUAUAUGUAUUUUUUAUUUGAAGUAAAAAAGAACAACAUUUCUUAUUUAA
rnacentral:lncRNA from 1 species